UUAUGGCCAUAUCAUGUUGAAACACCAGUUCUCAUACAAUCACCAAAUUUAAGCAACAUCGAGCCUGGUCAAUACCUAGAUGGGUGACUGCUUGGGAAUACUAGGUGCUGUAAG